rnacentral:sRNA from 1 species
ACAAAUUGCUGGGAAAUCAAUGCACAGGUGCGCUAUAUGGUUUCCCCAAUUUUUGAGCAUUCAGACUUACCAAUACAUAGAGGGAAUUCGUGUUAAUCUCCAGACUUACAACCUGACGUAGAAUGUUGUACAACGGCAUGCCAUCAACGCGGCGACUAAAGCUGAUCGAGUCCGUUGCCACUCAAUAUAUUCAUGAUGUUAUUUUUCACAUAGUUUGGCAUUAAACGCAUUAUCAGUGAUGUGACAAAGCCUUCCAUGAUAUAUAUAUAUAUAUAUAUCGUUAAAAAGUGCUCGUCCAGGUAGCCCACACUUGCAUACAUAUAUGUAUUGAUCUUGAUGGAUAACACAGCGAUUUCCUAGACUUUCCUGUCUACCCAAUUUUCAAGGGGAAUCUCAUACACCGAAUAAAAUACACAGUAUAAAUCUUAUAUUGGAAGAUCAAUAAUUGGCGGUUCCCGAGGAUGACCAGAAUGUAUAUUUCUGUACCAGAGUUACAUCAAACUAUCUGCAGCCUUGUGAAAGUUUUAUAGAGUGACAACUUCAUUUUUCUUUCGGUUAUUGACGAGAUUACUUUUUAAUUGGCUGAUCAUAACUAAAGUAAAUUCUGAGAAGAUCGAUACCAUUAGAACAUAGAUUAUCGAGGAUGGGGCUCCUGGAAAAACGACACAUACUUCAUCGACUUGAUGUAAUUAAGAUAACUAGUGAGGCCCAAGGGGCCAACUCGGCUCUCGGGGUGAGAAGAAUUAACAGUAUCUAAUAGUACAAAUCUCAUCAUUAACAACAUGCUGAAUUGUGAUGUAGUUUGUAAUUCUUUUAUUUUAAUGCCGCAGGGGAUCGGGUAUUCCAUGUGAGGAAGCCUGUUGAGGUGCCAACGAACUAUAUAUAGUUGUUACAAUUAUAAUGAUGUCAUAAUGACGAAACUAUGUUAUGCUUCAGUCCAGAAAAUGUCUCUUUGUUGAAUUUAAAUUAGGGUGUAUAAAUCUGGACGCUAUAAAAAUUAAUGAAUGAAAUACUAAAACAAACGAAAAGUAAAACAAAAUGACUACUC